rnacentral:ncRNA from 2 species
GGUGGCUGAAUUAGAGAUCGGCACCCUUAUUUUUUAUAAACUGGAGUUAAAAAUGUCUCUAAGCGUUGAAGCUAAAGCUAAAAUCGUUUCUGAGUUUGGUCGUGGUGA